CUCAAGGUCAUCGUCGGCGAGGCCGGCUGGCCUACCGAUGGCAACAAGUACGCCAACUUCAAGCUGGCGCGGCGGUUCUACGACGGGCUCCUCAGGAAGCUGGCCAAGAACGAAGGCACCCCGGUCCGGAAGGGCAAGAUGGAGGUCUACCUGUUCGGCCUAUUCGACGAGGACAUGAAGAGCAUCGCGCCGGGGAACUUCGAGCGGCACUGGGGCAUCUUCACCUACGACGGCAAGCCCAAGUUCCCCAUCGACCUGACGGGGCAGGGCCACGAAAAGCUCCUCUCCCCAGUUACCGACGUUAAGUACCUCCCGAACCAGUGGUGCGUGUUCGACGACGGGGCCGAGGACAAGUCCAAGCUGCCUAGCAACGUCCAGUAUGCAUGUGCGAGCGGCGACUGCACGGCACUCGGCUAUGGCUGCUCCUGCAAUGGGCUGGACGAGAAGAGCAACAUCUCCUACGCGUUCAACAUGUACUUCCAGAUGCAGGACCAGGAUGUGCGCGCCUGCGACUUCGAAGGGCUUGCCAAGAUCACAGACAAGAACGCCUCCACGCGCGGCUGCCUGUUCCCGGUCCAGAUAAUCAGUGCCAGUGCUCGGGUGGCGCCAGCUCU
rnacentral:lncRNA from 1 species